rnacentral:lncRNA from 10 species
AGGGGGCGGUGCCCGUAGGGGAGGCUCUGGCUGCGCAGAAGCCCGCGGCGGGAGGGAGGCUCGGGCACGGCGGGCUGCAGGACCCGAGCCCUGCCCCGCGGGGAGGCAGCUAAGUCCCGGCGAGAAUUUGAGCGCAGCGCCGGCGCUCCGGCACUGCUGGGGAAGCCGGCGCACCCUCCACAGGGCCGGCCAGCCGGCCGCUCCGAGUGCGGGCCGCCAAGCCCACGCCCACCCGGAACUCGCGCUGGCCCGCGAGCACCCGCGCGCAGCCCGGGUUCCCUCCCGCGCCUCUCCGUCUACACCUCCCCGCAAGUAGAGGGAGCCGGCUCUGGCUUCCGCCAGCCCAGUGAGGGGCUCCCACAGUGCAGCGGCGGGCUGAAGGCCUCCUCAAGCGUGGGCGGAGUGGGCACCGAGGCCGAGGAGGCACUGAGAGCAAGGGCUGCCAGCACGCUGUCAUCUCUCACUUUCAUGGGUCUCCAUAUUUUAAAAAGCUAAAGAAAGGACUUCAAUUAUGUCUCCAGGAGAAAUCAAGAGAAGAGUCCAAGUUUUAAGUCUGGAUCAAUACAAUAUUGGAAAAAGCCAUGUGAAGAAGGAUGUGUUUGCUUCCCCUUUCGCCAUGAUUUUAAGUUUCCUGAGGCCUCCCCAGCCAUGCAGAACUGUAAG